GCGGAUUUCUUCAAAUGCAGGGAUGGAAUGAGUUCGUGAUGAAGUUGGACAAAUUCCACAUGCAAUAACAAUAAACAAAAAGUGAGUAGAAGAUCGACUAUUUUGUAAAAGAGGAGGUCAAAUAAAUUAAAGUUAAUACAACUUAAAAUCCCCAUAGAUAGCAGUUAAUAGAGAACAGAAGCAAGAUUCCACCGAUGAAAUUUUUUAUUAACCAAAGACCCUUGACUCUCACCUAAAAUUUCAAACCCAAUUGAAUGAAAAUGAGCAUCAAAACACACAAGUAUAUUCUGUUACUAUCAUUUAAUGGAAUCCCGAAGGAUCAAAACUUAAAGCAUGCUCUUCAAGUACCACGAAACGCCACGAAUAGUUAUUUCAAAAAAAAACUUCAUAAUGAUUCAUCAAAUGAACUAACUUGCAGACAUUACACAUAUCCAACAUCAACUCCAAAUGAAUUACAAUUUUAAAGACGAGAAGAGCGCAGUUGACAUCGAUCCGACGGAUAUUUGCAGUUUUAGUAAAGCUGAAUAUCAUAUAUUUGAAGGGAAAGAAAAAUAAAAUUCGACACUUGGGAUUAUGGAGAUGACCCAAACAGCUGAUCAGCAAAAGAAAUUCAUGAACAAAAACCUCAGACAAAAUGUAUCGAGACAAGACAAAAACAUAGAACCAAAGCAACUCGUCAUCUUCCCAACACUUUAACACCCAGAGGUAUUUGAAAUAAGGUGAUAAAAACCCAACUAUUUGAAGACGUUGCUGCACUAUUAUUUUAACCAAAUAGGCAUUUUCAAAAUUAGGCAAAUCAUAAAUCCAAAUUCACAGAAUCAGUUCACAGAGGAAUAAUAAAAUGACAUCUAACAUCUAGCAUAUUCGAAUUAUGCAAAAAAUACAUAUAUUUUUUAACGUAUUUAAGCUAACAUUGAACAACCAUGCGAUGUAUGACUACCAAAUUAAUUUUUACACCUUUAA
rnacentral:misc_RNA from 1 species